UACGUAGGGACCAAGCGUUGUUCGGAUUUACUGGGCGUAAAGGGCGCGUAGGCGGCGUGGUAAGUCACUUGUGAAAUCUCUGAGCUUAACUCAGAACGGUCAAGUGAUACUGCUGUGCUAGAGUGCGGAAGGGGCAAUCAGAAUUCUUGGUGUAGCGGUGAAAUGCGUAGAUAUCAAGAGGAACACCGAUGGCGAAGGCAGGUCUCUGGGCAU
rnacentral:rRNA from 1 species